UUAACUCAAAUUUGUGUGGAGUUGGAACGUUUGUCUACGUUUGCCGCUAGGGGCGCUGUUCCAGUUGCAUACAAAUUUGAGUUA
rnacentral:pre_miRNA from 1 species